rnacentral:rRNA from 1 species
UCACCAAGGCUAUGACGGGUAGGGGGUGUGAGAGCACGGCCCCCAACGACGAGACUGAGACACGGCUCGUACACCUACGGGUGGCAGCAGUCGAGAAUAUUCGACAAUGGGCGAAAGCCUGAUCGAGCGACGCCGCGUGCGGGAAGAAGGCCUUCGGGUUGUAAACCGCUUUUGCCAGGGAAAAAAUUUGAUUGUACCUGGCGAAUAAGGAGCUCCUAACUUCGUGCCAGCAGGAGCGGUAAUACGAAGGCUCCAAGCGUUAUCCGGAAUUACUGGGCGUAAAGAGCGAGUAGCCGGUUUAGCUAGUCCGAUGUUAAAUCCUAGGGCUUAACUCUAGGGCCGCAUUGGAAACGGCUAGACUAGAGUGGGUGAGAGGUAAGCGGAACCUGCGGUGUAGGGGUGAAAUCCGUUGAUAUCGCAGGGAACACCAAAAGCGAAAGCAGCUUACUGGCACUCUACUGACGGUCAAUUGCGAAAGCGUGGGGAUCAAAAAGGAUUAGAUACCCUUGUAGUCCACGCCCUAAACGAUGCAGGCUAGCUAUCGAGAGCAUCGACCCUCUCGGUGGCGAAGCUAACGCGUUAAGCCUGCCGCCUGGGAGGUACGAUCGCAAGAUUAUAACUCAAUGGAAUAGACGGGGAUCCGCACAAGCGGUGGACCAUGUGGUUCAAUUCGAUAGUAAGCGAAGAACCUCACCAGGGUUAGAAAUCCAGCUGCAAGCUGCCAGAAACGGUGGCCGCCUUCGAGGGUGCUGGACAGGUGCUGCUCGGUUGUCGUCAGCUCGUUCCGUGGGGAGUUCUCUUAAGUGAGGAAACGAGCGCAACCCCUACUGUGUGUUAUACGUGUCACGCGGGACUGCCCAGCAUUUUGGUCAUCAAAAGUUUGGUGGACAGAAUGCUGGGAGGAAGGCGGGGAUGACGUCAAAUCAGCGUGGCCCUCUGAUACCCUGGGCUACACACGUGGUACAAUGGAUGGUACAAUGGGUCGCUAAACCGCGAGGUGGAGCCAAUCCCAUCAAAGCUGUCCUCAGUUCGGAUAGAAGGCUGAAACUUGCCUUCUUGAAGUUGGAAUCGCUAGUAAUCGCAGAUCAGAACGCUGCGGUGAAUACGUUCUCGGAUCUUGUACUCACUGCCCGUCAAGUCAGGGGAGCCGGGGAUACCCGAAGGCCCGCAAUUUUAGUGGGAUUACGGUAGAUUCGGUGACCAGGGCUAAGUCGUAACAAGGCAAGGGUAGCGGAAGCUGCUCUUGGAUCACCUCCUUU